UAAGUGAAGAGUUUGAUCCUGGCUCAGAGUGAACGCUGGCGGUAGGCCUAACACAUGCAAGUCGAACGGCAGCACAGUAAGAGCUUGCUCUUAUGGGUGGCGAGUGGCGGACGGGUGAGGAAUACAUCGGAAUCUACCUUUUCGUGGGGGAUAACGUAGGGAAACUUACGCUAAUACCGCAUACGACCUUCGGGUGAAAGCAGGGGACCUUCGGGCCUUGCGCGGAUAGAUGAGCCGAUGUCGGAUUAGCUAGUUGGCGGGGUAAAGGCCCACCAAGGCGACGAUCCGUAGCUGGUCUGAGAGGAUGAUCAGCCACACUGGAAC
rnacentral:rRNA from 1 species